GCGCGAGUGGUGGAAUUGGUAGACACGCUAGCCUUAGGAGCUAGUGCCUUCGGGCGUGGAGGUUCGAGUCCUCUCUCGCGUACCA
rnacentral:tRNA from 1 species